rnacentral:rRNA from 1 species
CAAUAGCGUAUAUCUAAGUUGCUGCAGUUAAAAAGCUCGUAGUUGGAUUUCGGGUGGGAAUGGCCGGUCCGCCGUUUCGGUGUGCACUUACUACGCCCACCUUGCUGCCGGGGACGUGCUCUUGAGUUCACGCUCGGGACACGGAGUCGGCGAGGUUACUUUGAGUAAAUUAGAGUGUUCAAAGCAGGCCUACGCUCUGAAUACAUUAGCAUGGAAUAACACGAUAGGACUCUGGCCUAUCUUGUUGGUCUGUAGGACCGGAGUAAUGAUUAAGAGGGACAGUCGGGGGCAUUCGUAUUUCAUUGUCAGAGGUGAAAUUCUUGGAUUUAUGAAAGACGAACUACUGCGAAAGCAUUUGCCAAGGAUGUUUUCAUUAA